rnacentral:rRNA from 1 species
GCGGACGGGUGAGUAAUACGUAGGAAUCUGCCCUGUAGUGGGGGACAACCUGGGGAAACUCAGGCUAAUACCGCAUACGCUCUACGGAGGAAAGCGGGGGACCUUCGGGCCUCGCGCUGUAGGAUGAGCCUACGUCCGAUUAGCUAGUUGGUAGGGUAAAGGCCUACCAAGGCGACGAUCGGUAGCUGGUCUGAGAGGAUGAUCAGCCACACUGGGACUGAGACACGGCCCAGACUCCUACGGGAGGCAGCAGUGGGGAAUAUUGGACAAUGGGGCAACCCUGAUCCAGCAAUGCCGCGUGUGUGAAGAAGGCCUGCGGGUUGUAAAGCACUUUCGGUGGGGAGGAAAAGCGAGGUGUGAAUAGCGCCUGGCCUUGACGUUACCCAUAGAAGAAGCACCGGCUAACUCCGUGCCAGCAGCCGCGGUAAUACGGAGGGUGCGAGCGUUAAUCGGAAUUACUGGGCGUAAAGGGCGCGUAGGCGGUCAGAUAAGUCAGAUGUGAAAGCCCCGGGCUCAACCUGGGAAUGGCAUUUGAUAC